rnacentral:rRNA from 1 species
CCUACGGGAGGCAGCAGUGAGGAAUAUUGGUCAAUGGGCGCUAGCCUGAACCAGCCAAGUAGCGUGAAGGAUGAAGGCUCUAUGGGUCGUAAACUUCUUUUAUAUAAGAAUAAAGUGCAGUAUGUAUACUGUUUUGUAUGUAUUAUAUGAAUAAGGAUCGGCUAACUCCGUGCCAGCAGCCGCGGUAAUACGGAGGAUCCGAGCGUUAUCCGGAUUUAUUGGGUUUAAAGGGAGCGUAGGUGGACUGGUAAGUCAGUUGUGAAAGUUUGCGGCUCAACCGUAAAAUUGCAGUUGAUACUGUCAGUCUUGAGUACAGUAGAGGUGGGCGGAAUUCGUGGUGUAGCGGUGAAAUGCUUAGAUAUCACGAAGAACUCCGAUUGCGAAGGCAGCUCACUGGACUGCAACUGACACUGAUGCUCGAAAGUGUGGGUAUCAAACAGGAUUAGAUCCCCUUGUAGUC